CGCUAGGUCGAGCGGGACAGCGGAUGCACCUUGAUCUGGUCACGCCGCAUCAGCGCUUCGUCAGGCUCAUAACCUGGAGGUCAUAGGUUCAAAUCCUAUCCCCGCAACCA
rnacentral:tRNA from 1 species